UUAAUAUUCAAAAAUACUUUUUCAUAAAUACUUUUUUUUUAAAUUUUUUUUCUUACUUUCAAAAACUAUAGUGUAUCCUUCUUAAAAUUUCAUAAUAUUUUGAGAAAAUUACGGAGUUAAGAGGUUAGCGGAAUGACUAAAUUAUUUUUAUUUGUUAUAAAAAAGAAUAAUUUUUUUAUAUCUUCUUAUUAUUUUAAAUAAUAGUUUUUUUUAUAAAUUAUAAAAAAUAGACGGAAUAGUGACGCAGGAAUAGAGCCUAAAUAUAUUAGCUUAAAAUUUUGAGGAAUAUAUAAAUUUUUUAAAAAAUUAAUAAAAGUGAAAAAGUAAAUAUGUGUGAGGAGUUUUUUUUUUAGGAUUAAUUGCAUACAGGCUAUAGUUCAACUUUCAUAUAUGUUUUCAAACAUGUUCCUGUCGUUAGGAUUCGUCAGAAAAAAUUAGUUAAUCAUAGGUAAAAUACUUAAUCCUAAUUAGUUAAUAAAGUGAGUUGACUUUUUCACCCCUUUUUAAUUAACAGUUGGGACUUUUGGAAUUUAGAGUGAUAUAUAUUUAUGAUGACAAAAGGGUUAUUUUAUUUAUAAAAUAAAUAGUGUUUUAAUGGUCACAAAUCAGAGAAAUAUAUUUGAAAAUAUUAUAAUUUUUGGAGAAAAGAUAUAUGAAAAUUAAAUUUUAUAGAAAUAUAUUUGUCAAUUUAUUAUAUUUAUGGGGAUCUAUAUAAAAUUAAUUUUUUU
rnacentral:lncRNA from 1 species